rnacentral:rRNA from 1 species
UACUAAAGGUGCAAGCGUUAAUCGGAAUUACUGGGCGUAAAGCGCGCGUAGGUGGUUUGUUAAGUUGGAUGUGAAAGCCCAGGGCUCAACCUUGGAACUGCAUUCAAAACUGACUCGCUAGAGUACGAGAGAGGUUAGUGGAAUUUCCUGUGUAGCGGUGAAAUGCGUAGAGAUGGGAAGGAACACCAGUGGCGAAGGCGACUGACUGGCUCGAUACUGACACUGAGGUGCGAAAGCGUGGGGAGCAAACAGG